rnacentral:rRNA from 1 species
UGGGGAAUAUUGGACAAUGGGCGAAAGCCUGAUCCAGCCAUGCCGCGUGUGUGAAGAAGGUCUUCGGAUUGUAAAGCACUUUAAGUUGGGAGGAAGGGCAGUAAGCGAAUACCUUGCUGUUUUGACGUUACCGACAGAAUAAGCACCGGCUAACUCUGUGCCAGCAGCCGCGGUAAUACAGAGGGUGCAAGCGUUAAUCGGAAUUACUGGGCGUAAAGCGCGCGUAGGUGGUUCGUUAAGUUGGAUGUGAAAGCCCCGGGCUCAACCUGGGAACUGCAUCCAAAACUGGCGAGCUAGAGUAGGGCAGGGGGUGGUGGAAUUUCCUGUGUAGCGGUGAAAUGCGUAGAUAUAGGAAGGAACACCAGUGGCGAAGGCGACCACCUGGGCUCAUACUGACACUGAGGUGCGAAAGCGUGGGGAGCAAACAGG